rnacentral:rRNA from 1 species
UACAGAGGGGGCAAGCGUUAUUCGGAAUUAUUGGGCGUAAAGGGCGCGUAGGCGGCUUGGCAAGUGGAAGGUGAAAUCCCUCGGCUUAACCGAGGAACUGCCCUCCAAACUGCUUCGCUUGAGACCGGGAGAGGUGAGUGGAAUUCCCAGUGUAGCGGUGAAAUGCGUAGAUAUUGGGAGGAACACCAGUGGCGAAGGCGGCUCACUGGACCGGUACUGACGCUGAGGCGCGGAAAAGCGUGGGGAGCAAACGGGG